rnacentral:rRNA from 1 species
GAUUAACGCUGGCGGCGUGCAUAACACAUGCAAGUCGAACGAAGUUGCGGACGGGUGAGUAACGCGUGAGUAACCUGCCUUAGAGAAGGGGAUAGCAUUUGGAAAAGAAGAAUAAUACCCUAUGCUUUAAGAUGUACUUGCGUCUGAUUAGUUAGUUGGUGGGGUAACGGCCUACCAAGACAGCGAUCAGUAGCCGGCUUGAGAGAGGGUACUGCCACAUUGGGACUGAGACACGGUCCAGUAUCUACGGGAGGCAGCAGUGGGGAAUUUUGCACAAUGGGGGAAACCCUGAUGCAGCGACGCCGCGUGAUUUAGAAGGCUUUCGAGUCGUAAAGUUCUUUUAUAUGGGAAGCGGUACCAUAAGAAAAAGCCCCGGCUAACUACGUGCCAGCCGCCGCGGUAAUAC